CUCUGGUAAGCUAAUACGGAAGCAUCAAACUCUUGACUUGAAUAAAAGUGGAAGUCCACCCACUACCAGAGA
rnacentral:tRNA from 1 species